rnacentral:rRNA from 1 species
CACCAGACUCCUACGGGAGGCAGCAGUGGGGAAUAUUGGACAAUGGGGGAAACCCUGAUCCAGCGACGCCGCGUGAGUGAAGAAGUAUUUCGGUACGUAAAGCUCUAUCAGCAGGAAAGAAAAUGACGGUACCUGACUAAGAAGCCCCGGCUAACUACGUGCCAGCAGCCGCGGUAAUACGUAGGGGGCAAGCGUUAUCCGGAUUUACUGGGUGUAAAGGGAGCGUAGACGGCAUAGCAAGUCUGAAGUGAAAGCCCGUGGCUCAACCGCGGAACUGCUUUGGAAACUGUGCAGCUAGAGUGCAGGAGAGGUAAGUGGAAUUCCUAGUGUAGCGGUGAAAUGCGUAGAUAUUAGGAGGAACACCGGUGGCGAAGGCGGCUUACUGGACCGUAACUGACGUUGAGGCUCGAAAGCGUGGGGAGCAAACAGGAUUAGAUACCCUGGUA